GAUGAAGAACGUAGCGAAAUGCGAUACUUGGUGUGAAUUGCAGAAUCCCGUGAACCAUCGAGUCUUUGAACGCAAGUUGCGCCCGAAGCCAUUAGGCCGAGGGCACGCCUGCCUGGGCGUCACACGUCGUUGCCCCCCCAUCUACUCCUUCGGGAUUGCGGGGGGCGGAUGAUGGCCUCCCGUGCGCCUCGCCGCGCGGUUGGCAUAAAUGCCAAGACCUCGGCGACGCACGCCACGACAAUCGGUGGUUGCGAAACCUCGGUUGCCCGUCGUGUGCGGUCGUCGCGCAUCGAGGGCUCGAAAAAAUUGCCGGGUUCCGGCUCGGCUUUCAACGCGACCCCAGGUCAGGCGGGGUUACCCGCUGAAUUUAAGCAUAUCAAUAAGCGGAGGA
rnacentral:misc_RNA from 1 species